AUGCGUCCGUAUAGUUUCUUUGCUACUACCUUGCAUUACAUGAUUCCAUCACUUAAGAUUGAUUUGAAAACUCAUAUGCUUGGAUACGAUGAUACAUACACUGUUGGCGGCAUUGCUCAUAUUAAUGAUGAUCACACUUAUUUUCCUCAUGCCAAACCUAUGCUUAAUGAUAAAUAUCAUCCUCAUGUUAGUAUUGAGCUUGCUGAUUCCUAUCAUACUCGUCAUGUUCUUUAUAGCUAUGCUUAUGUAAUUGGAUACUCGAUUGAUGACUUGGAGGGUAUUAUCCCUACCGCUUGCAUCGUCUCUUUUGUGUAG
rnacentral:rRNA from 1 species